GAAGUAAGCAUAAUCCUACUCUCUCCUCUCUUCCGUCGAAAACUUUCCCAUUUGGUGCGAUCAUGGCUUCCGUCUUCUCUCUCUUCCUCGCUCUCUUCCUUCUUUUCAACUUUCACGGUAAGUCUCUACUAAAUUUUGCUCUUAUAUCAACUUAACAAGACCUGUAUUUUCCGAAAGGCCCCUCAAUUUUGGUCUAUUUUCAGUUCGCGCUGAGCUCGUGUUGGAGGAUGGUUACAGUGUGAGUACAGUCCUCGACGGCAACAAGCUCGAGAUAAACCCUCACUCGAUCCUUCCCCUCUUCGAGCGUCAAUCUCGUACUCUCUAUUCAGAUCACAGUGGCCCUUUUUCAACCGUCCGUUCGGUAAA
rnacentral:lncRNA from 1 species